rnacentral:rRNA from 1 species
AUACGUAGGGUGCGAGCGUUGUCCGGAAUUACUGGGCGUAAUGAGCUCGUAGGUGGUUUGUCGCGUCGUCUGUGAAAUUCCGGGGCUUAACUCCGGGCGUGCAGGCGAUACGGGCAUAACUUGAGUACUGUAGGGGAGACUGGAAUUCCUGGUGUAGCGGUGAAAUGCGCAGAUAUCAGGAGGAACACCGGUGGCGAAGGCGGGUCUCUGGGCAGUAACUGACGCUGAGGAGCGAAAGCAUGGGUAGCGAACAGGAUUAGAUACCCUGGUAGUCCAUGCCGUAAACGGUGGGCGCUAGGUGUAGGGGUCUUCCACGACUUCUGUGCCGUAGCUAACGCAUUAAGCGCCCCGCCUGAGUAGUACGGUCGCAAGGCUGAAACUUAAAGGAAUUGACGGGG